UACUGAUGUGGCAAGCGAUGUUCGGAUUUACUGGGCGUAAAGGGUGCGUAGGUGGUAGCGUGUGUCGGAUGUGAAAUCUCAUCGGCCAACGGUGAAACUGCAUUCGAAACUGCGGAACUAGAGUACAGGAGAGUAGAGCGGAAUUCUCGGUGUAGCGGUGAAAUGCGUGGAUAUCGAGAAGAACGCAGGUGGCGAAGGCGGCUCUCUGGUUUGAUACUGACACUGAUGCACGAAAGCUGGGGGAGCAAACAGG
rnacentral:rRNA from 1 species